GCUUGUCUCAAAGAUUAAGCCAUGCAUGUCUAAGUGUAAGCAAUUAUACAGUGAAACUGCGAAUGGCUCAUUAUAUCAGUUAUAAUUUACUUGAUAGUUCCUACUACUUGGAUACCCGUAGUAAUUCUAGAGCUAAUACAUGCGAGAACCCCUGACUUUUAGGAAGGGCGUAUUUAUUAGAUACAACCAACCCCUCACGGGUUUCUGGUGAAUCAUAAUAACCGAACGAACCGUAUGCGCAAGCGACGGUGGUUCAUUCAAGUUUCUGCCCUAUCAGCUUUCGAUGGUAGGGUAUUGGCCUACCAUGGCGUUAACGGGUAACGGAGAAUUAGGGUUCGAUUCCGGAGAGGGAGCCUGAGAGAUGGCUACCACAUCCAAGGAAGGCAGCAGG
rnacentral:rRNA from 1 species